rnacentral:rRNA from 1 species
AACGAACGCCGGCGGCAUGCCUAACACAUGCAAGUCGAACGAGGCCUUCGGGCUUAGUGGCGCACGGGUGCGUAACGCGUGGGAAUCUGCCCCUUGGUUCGGAAUAACACAGAGAAAUUUGUGCUAAUACCGGAUGAUGACGAAAGUCCAAAGAUUUAUCGCCGAGGGAUGAGCCCGCGUAGGAUUAGCUAGUUGGUGAGGUAAAGGCUCACCAAGGCGACGAUCCUUAGCUGGUCUGAGAGGAUGAUCAGCCACACUGGGACUGAGACACGGCCCAGACUCCUACGGGAGGCAGCAGUGGGGAAUAUUGGACAAUGGGCGAAAGCCUGAUCCAGCAAUGCCGCGUGAGUGAUGAAGGCCUUAGGGUUGUAAAGCUCUCUUACCAGGGAUGAUAAUGACAGUACCUGGAGAAUAAGCUCCGGCUAACUCCGUGCCAGCAGCCGCAGUAA